rnacentral:rRNA from 1 species
GUGGAUUAGAUACCCUAGUAGUCCACGCUGUAAACGAUGGGCACUAGGUGUCGCGGGUAUUGACCCCUGCGGUGCCGCAGCUAACGCAUUAAGUGCCCCGCCUGGGGACUACGGCCGCAAGGUUAAAACUCAAAGGAAUUGACGGGGGCCCGCACAAGCGGUGGAGCAUGUGGUUCAAUUCGACGCAACGCGAAGAACCUUACCCGGGCUAGACAACAGAGGACAGCCUUAGAAAUAAGGUCUUCCCUUCGGGGACCUCUGGUUCAGGUGCUGCACGGCCGUCGACAGCU